GGUGGUAUAUAAAUUCAAUAAAUAAAAUAAAAUAAAAAUAAUAUUGCAACUGAUAAAAUGAAACAUCAACAUGGUUUGCAACUGUUCCAGCACAUACUGAAAUAGGAGUUAAGUUUAGGCUCCCUGCAAGGGGUUGAGCUUCUUAAAGAAGGCUGGACCUUCGGAAAGAGGCUCAAACCGGUCAGGAAAUAAACACAGACCAGACCAGGGAUUUUCAGAAAGCAAAGCGGCUGGAAGCCCGAUCCCUUAUUAAAAUUAUAUGCAGAACUGUUGGCAACAGGGUUCCCACUCGCGUAGCAGGCGACCGAGAGAGAACCCCAAACAAAAGAGAAUUUAAACUUAUAUACCUUUUAAUUUCCAUACAGAACAAUGGUAACAGAAGACGUCAAACAAGGCGUGGUGAGAGGAUUAGAACAGGUGAGUGGGAUGUCGGAAGGGGUUGAAUUGUUUUAAUGGUGGUGUCGUUACUUGCGAUUGUUGGACAUAAAAGGUUUUGGGCUGGUUCCUUUUCCUGUUUCCAGAGGUGUUGGCUAAUGGGUUUGUUUUUCCUUUAUGUACAGGAAAACUUCGGAGCUGCUAGGGGCUGUCCGAUAAGGAGACAGGAUUUUGGGAGUCGCUUAUCCUUGCGGGUGUGUUGCCUUAUUCUGCAUUUUUCCUUUAUUUAAAUAAAACUGUCUGAGGUUGUGUGUGUGUGUCCAUCUGCAGACUCAUUAGGUGGCGCUGGGAAGCAGUUUGACAGUUGUCGGCAGUACAAAGUCAAUUCUACAGUUUAGAUACAUAGUAAUACAAAGUUUAGAUACAUAUACAAAAGCAUAAAACGAAUAAGAAAAUAGGAAGGAAAUUGAUACAAAGAUUGAACUCCAGUUAGCAACAUGUGCAAGGUACGUUUCAUUAGAAGGGCAACGGUUUAAAGGAAAGGAAAUAGGCAUAACAAGCAGGGUUCAUAAAUUUAUUUUGGAAUCCCCUCUCUGGUCAUGGAUUCACACAUACAAACACUCCAAACCCCACACAAGCUUUCAAACAAAUUAUUAUAAUUUGUGUAUUCUAAUUAUGUAUUAUAAUUUGUCGAUUUUCCUUGCCCAGGUACUCAAAGUGUUCUGCCAAGCCGUAGGACAGAGCUUCCCAAACUCUCUUGCGACAUAUUAUUGUGUUGGCUGCAGUGUGUUGUGUGAACGCUCCCCACAUUCCUCCCGGGGCUGGAAAGGGGUUAGUUUAACCUCUGGUUUGCUAGUAAAACUGAACCACUGUGUCGCGAAAUGAUGCAAGUCUGAAAAGUGUGUCACCAACAUGGAAAGUUUGGAAAGCUCUGCUGUGGGAUGUUGCCAUGUGUACUGAUUUAUUUAUUUCAAUGAGAUUUGUAAGCGAGAAAGAGCCUGAAGUUUGCUCAGGGGAACGAAAAAGAGAGAGAGAUCUGCAGAGUUUGGGGAGCAGAAUAUUAAUACGGAAGAACCGAAAAAUAAAUCCACAUAUAAAUACUUGAAAACCAACGAUGCACGGAUCCUCCAGGCACUGAUCAAGGAUGCAAGCUGGUUGAAAUUCGCCUUUGGCAGCCCGUUGACAAAAGCUGUGUGGAUAGUCAUGGACUGAAGCUGGUGCGCUUGUCUGUCCUUCUGUCUGCGUGUCUCUCAUCCUGCCUUUCCGUGUGACUCGGGGUGUGAAAAGGGGUGUGUGUGUGUGUUUCAAAUGUGGCCGGGUGCAUUCAGGUGGGAUGGGGUGGAGGUCACCCAGGAAAUAGUACUUUUGUCCUGGAGUAAAUUUACGGACUAUUUGAAAAGUAUUUGUGAAGAUCAGAUGACGUUUGUAGGUUUGCAAGAAGUUUUGUAAGGAGUAUUAUUGGAAGUAUUGCAAAAAUGGAAAAGGGGAAGGAUGAUUUGUUAAGAGAUGUAAAGGCAAUAUAAAGUUAAGAAGUGGUUAAAACGGUGAAUCAGCAGAGGUGCUGAUGGAAGUCUAAAAAGAUUGUAUAAGUGAUAAGUUUUGUGGUACAUUUUAUAAUUUAUAUGUUCAAAUAAAAAAAAAUUAUUUAUAUA
rnacentral:lncRNA from 1 species